UACACUGCAGCACUUCUGGACCGUUCUCUGCCACUUGGACUUUACCUAUGAGUCUUGGGAGAUGGGAGGUGAUACACUAAGCAGACCUGCUAUCGUGGCUGGGACCAGACUUGGCCGCAUCAGGACGUGGUAGAAAGGAUUCAUGCAGGGAUCCUCGUCUCCGUGCAUCUGCUGCUAAAAAGGUUGUGAUAUCCAACAUCUCUCUCUCUCUCGGCUCCGAGUAGCGAACCUGCAAUCUGUCUAACGUCCCCAGACUCUCUCAUUCUUAUUCCGACUCUGUCUCGGUCCCCCCAGUCUCACUCCUGUUUGAUGUCCGGCCCUCCUCUCUUAACCGUCGUUUUCUUUACCCUCUCCCUUGAUAAUUCAUCCACUUUAUUUAUUUCACUCCAGCCAAGGUUCACUCAUCACCUGCCCUUCUGGGCUUGUCCCCUCUGUGCCCUUUCUCCUGGGUACUGCCUCCAUCCAUCACCACCUCUCACUCAGCCAUGGUCCAGGUCUUUGUGAUUUGACAAAACGCUCCCGGACCCCGAGCCCUUUGGUCUGUUCCCAUCCUGACAUUCCUUCCCUUCGAUGAACGUGGGCCACUUUUUCGCCCUGCAUUUCUACCGUCUGAUUCUUUUUGACCGUUGGAAUGUCUCCUUUAUUUUGAACAGUUAAAACAAACAUUACAGCAAAUGCAAUA